UCCUCGUUAGUGUAGGUGGUUAUCACUCUGGGUUCUGAUUCCAGCGACGGGAGUUCGAGUCUCUCACGAGGAA